AUUGAACGCUGGCGGCAGGCCUAACACAUGCAAGUCGAACGCGUGGCGGACGGGGGAGUAAUGUCUGGGAAACUGCCUGCUGGAGGGGGAUAACUACUGGAAACGGUAGCUAAUCCCGCAUACCAUCGGAUGUGCCCAGAUGGGAGUAGCUAGUAGGUGGGGUAAAGGCUCACCUAGGCGACGAGCCUUAGCUGGUCUGAGAGGAUGACCAGCCACACUGGAACUGAGACACGGUCCAGACUCCUACGGUAGGCAGCAGUGGGGAAGAUUGCACAAUGGGCGCAAGCCUGAUGCAGCCAUGCCGCGUGUAUGAAGAAGGCCUUCGGGGUGUAAAGGACUUUCAGCGGGGAGGCGUUACCCGCAGAAGAAGCACCGGCUAACUCCGUGCCAGCAGCCGCGGUAAUUC
rnacentral:rRNA from 1 species